GACAGAGGGUGCAAACGUUGUUCGGAAUUACUGGGCGUAAAGCGAGUGUAGGCGGUUUGGUAAGUCGGAUGUGAAAGCCCCGGGCUCAACCCGGGAAUAGCGCUUGAGACUGGGGGGCUUGAGUUCGGGAGAGGAGAGUGGAAUUCCCAGUGUAGAGGUGAAAUUCGUAGAUAUUGGGAAGAACACCGGUGGCGAAGGCGGCUCUCUGGACCGACACUGACGCUGAGGCGCGAAAGCGUGGGGAGCAAACAGG
rnacentral:rRNA from 1 species